UACGUAGGGGGCAAGCGUUGUCCGGAAUCAUUGGGCGUAAAGCGCGUGUAGGCGGUUCGGUAAGUCCGCUGUGAAAGUCGGGGGCUCAACCCUCGGAUGCCGGUGGAUACUGUCGGGCUUGAGUACGGAAGAGGCGAGUGGAAUUCCUGGUGUAGCGGUGAAAUGCGCAGAUAUCAGGAAGAACACCUAUGGCGAAGGCAGCUCUCUGGGACGGUACUGACGCUGAGACGCGAAAGCGUGGGGAGCAAACAGG
rnacentral:rRNA from 1 species